ACGGUUAGUAGUGGCAGAUGA
rnacentral:miRNA from 1 species